AACUUGUCUAGAGUGCAUUGCCUGGUCAGCAGCUUGUAUCUCUCCUAGGCUUCAUAGAGGCUCUCACCAUCCUUCUGCCUGAAGGUCUUAACCUCCACCCUAAGCU